CCGUCCGCCCCAACCUCUCCGGCUUCAGCAACACACUCAGCGGUCUUGGUGGAGAAGGGCACAGGGACUCCGAGAAGGUCCGGCAGCUGGAAGAGAAAGUCCAACACCUGAGCAAACAGCUGCAGGACCUGCAGUCCACCAUGGAGACCAGCAACACCAAACUGGCCGAGGACGUCCGCAGGGCCGUCGAGUCCUCCUUGAACGGCAAGCAGCCGGCGGACGCAGCCGCCCACCCG